rnacentral:rRNA from 1 species
CGCGUAGGCGGUCGCGUGCGUCGGAGGUGAAAUCCCCGGGCUUAACCCGGGAACUGCCUCCGAUACGACGUGACUUGAGUCCGGGAGAGGGGAGCAGAAUUCCCAGUGUAGCGGUGAAAUGCGUAGAUAUUGGGAGGAAUACCAGUGGCGAAGGCGGCUCCCUGGACCGGUACUGACGCUGAGGCGCGAAAGCGUGGGUAGCAAACA